GCCUAACCGUAAAAUAUUAACUCACACCCAUCAACGCCCGGGUACUACGAGCCCCAACUUAAAACCCAAAGGACUUGACGGUGUCCCACCCACCUAGAGGAGCCUGUUCUAUAAUCGAUGAUCCCCGCUAAACCCAACCUCCCCUUGCAAUCAGCCUGUAUACCUCCGUCGUAAGCUUACCAUAUGAAUGUUUUCAGUAAGUUUAAUGGCUAUAAAACACCAAUACGUCAGGUCAAGGUGCAGCUCAUGGGGUGGUAAGCAAUGGGCUACAAUUUCUAAUCUAGAACAAACGAAACACUGUAUGAAACUCAGUUAUGAAGGCGGAUUUAGUAGUAAAAAGAAAGUAGCGUGUUCUUUUUAACUAGGCCCUGGGACGUGUACACACCGCCCGUCGCCCUCUUCAAUAGUCACAUAACAGAUUUAUAACCACUCACCACGCCUUAGAAGAGGUAAGUCGUAACAUGGUAAGUGUACCGGAAGGUGUACUUGGAAUAA
rnacentral:rRNA from 1 species